rnacentral:rRNA from 1 species
UACGAAGGGGUGCAGCGUUGCUCGGAAUCACUGGGCGUAAAGGGUGCGUAGGCGGGUUUUUAAGUCAGGGGUGAAAUCCUGGAGCUCAACUCCAGAACUGCCUUUGAUACUGAAGAUCUUGAGUCCGGGAGAGGUGAGUGGAACUGCGAGUGUAGAGGUGAAAUUCGUAGAUAUUCGCAAGAACACCAGUGGCGAAGGCGGCUCACUGGCCCGGUACUGACGCUGAGGCACGAAAGCGUGGGGAGCAAACAGG